GUACACUUUUGGUGCAGGAACCAAACUCUUUAUGAAAACUGGUCCAGUGGUGAAGCCCUCCGUGUCUCUGCUCCCUCCUUCUUCUCUGCAGCUCUCUGAUGGAACGGCCUCGCUGCUCUGCCUGCUCUCUGCCUAUUCUCCACAGGGGGCGCUGCCGAGCUGGACCGUGGACGGUGCCGAGGUGAACGAGGGGGUUCUGACCAGCACAGAAGAACAGAAGGACGGCAUCUACAGCCGCAGCAGCACCCUGACCCUCAGUAAAGAACGCUGGGAAGAGGCCGAGGUGUUCGGCUGUACCGUCUCCCACCACGACACCACUCAGGUCGCCUCGUUCAGAAAGAGCCGCUGUGAAGUCCACUAGAAUUCAAGUGUACACUUUAAACCAUGCUUAAUAGUCUGAGGUGAUGUCAGUGUGUAGAUAUGCUGAAAUAAAGCUUCUAUGUAGAAA